rnacentral:rRNA from 1 species
GGAUUAGCGGCGACGGGUGAGUAACACGUGAGUAACCUGCCUUAGACAUUGGGAUAGCCUCGGGAAACCGGGAUUAAUACCAAAUAAAAUCAUAAUGACACAUGUCAUAACGAUCAAAACUCCGGUGGUCUAAGAUGGACUCGCGUCCCAUUAGCUAGUUGGUAGAGUAAAAGCCUACCAAGGCGACGAUGGGUAGCCGGCCUGAGAGGGUGAACGGCCACAUUGGAACUGAGAAACGGUCCAA